UGAAAAGAUUUCAGUUGAAUUCAGCAUGGAUAUAAGUGUAUCCCAGAUAACAAACAAAUUGUAAGUACCUUCGCCGAGAAUAUACCAAAGCAAAGGACAAUAACAACAAAUCGGGGAGGGCUAAGGUGACGUCGCCGUUUUAUGACACGUUGGACAGAAUACUGGGUACACGGGAUAUCCACAAUCCUGAGAUUGUACUCCAAAACGGCGUGAACACGACAGAGGGCACCGAUGAAAGUCAAGCUGAUGACGAAGCUAAUUUGAUAGAACCAGAGGCACUGGCUGCAGAAGAAGAAGCCUUGAUUGAUCUGGCCCAGCAACGAAAACCAAAAAAGAAGGCAAAGAAAAAAUCGAAAUUCGAAAUGGCACUGCAAACGUUCAAUGCAAACUGUGAGGAACAGGAUGUGGCAUUCGAACGAAGAAUGCUUGAACACCAGAAACAGCUUCAGCAGCAGCAUGCUGAAUUGCAGGAGCGGUUAAUGGAGAAGCAAAAUUCAAAUAUGUUGGAAAUGAUGCGAAUGUAUAUGCAACCUAUGCAACAGCCACAUAUUUGUCGCUAGCUCGACCACGUUUCGAGGAUGCUCCUAUUCAGCAUCAGUGGCCUACACCAACAAGCACUCGUGUAUCUUCGUCGGUAGCUCGACCACCUGUCGAGGAUGCUCCUAUUCAGCAUCAGUGGCCUACACCAACAAGCACUCAUACAUCUUCAUCAUUAGCUCGUCCAUCUGUCGAGGAUACUCCUAUAGAACAACCCUGGCCUACGACAACAAGCACUCGCACUCGCGUAUCUGGACUAUUAAACCAAUAAACACCGUCGUAUCUCUGGCAUCCAACUCGCUGUCCGAACCAGCACCUAAGCGCUCAAAGCCGGAUAGACCUCGAUAUUUUUCAUUGUAUGUGUAGAUGAUAUUAUUUUACCAGGCAUUUGCAUAAUUUUAAUAUAGUUCCUCCAUAACUGUUCAUUCAAUAUAACAAUGUACGUAGUGUAGUGUGUGUAGUUCAUAUAUAAUUCUCUUUUCAGUGAUUUAUUUUUUCUUAUAUCUAUAAAUGUUUGAAAUUUAUUCUCUGUUAUAAAAAAAAUACACUGUUGUACAAUAUUACUAGUUUAGUAGCGGGGUGGAUCCAGAAGUGUUUGUCAAAAACAUUAAUUUUCUACACAGCAUUUGCUUUUUUAGCUGAAAUAUCCAAGUAAGGCAUUCCUUAUGUCCACCCCAGACCCAAUAUCCUGAUCGUUAAGUGGGACGUUAAUGAGCUGGUUAUUAUCGGGGGCAUCCCAACGAUCGUCAUAUCCUUCGUUCUGCUCCAGGCAGAAAUUGUGAAGAACACAGCAUGCUGACACCAUCUGAGGAACUUUCAACAAGGCUGAGUCAUUUCUCCGCAUCAGUAUUCGCCA